rnacentral:rRNA from 1 species
AGAGUUUGAUCCUGGCUCAGGACGAACGCUGGCGGCGGGCUUAACACAUGCAAGUCGAAGGAGAAUCUCAGUGCUUGCACCGGGAGGAGACUGGCGGACGGGUGAGUAACGCGUAGAUAACCUGCCUGAAUCUGGGGGAUAACACCGGGAAACCGGUGCUAAUACCGCAUAAUGCAGCGGGGCCGCAUGGCCACAGUUGUUAAAGGCUUCGGCCGGGUUCAGAGGGGUCUGCGUGCUAUUAGUUAGUUGGUAGGGUAACGGCCUACCAAGGCGAUGAUAGCUAGGGGGUCUGAGAGGAUGAUCCCCCACACUGGGACUGAGACACGGCCCAGACUCCUACGGGAGGCAGCAGUGAGGAAUCUUGCGCAAUGGGCGAAAGCCUGACGCAGCCACGCCGCGUGCCGGAAGACGGCCCUAUGGGUUGUAAACGGCUUUUGGAAGGGAAGAACGCCCGGGGUUUGCCCUGGGGUGACGGUACCUUCUGAAUAAGCACCGGCUAACUCCGUGCCAGCAGCCGCGGUAAUACGGAGGGUGCAAGCGUUGUCCGGAAUCAUUGGGUGUAAAGGGUGCGUAGGCGGGAGCCUAAGUCUGUGGUGAAAUCUUGCCGCUUAACGGUAAAAUGGCCAUGGAUACUGGGUUUCUUGAGUGCAGAAGAGGUCGGUGGAAUUCGUAGUGUAGCGGUGAAAUGCAUAGAUAUUACGAAGAACAUCAGUGGCGAAGGCGGCCGGCUGGACUGCAACUGACGCUGAGGCACGAAAGUGUGGGGGAGCGAACAGGAUUAGAUACCCUGGUAGUCCACACUGUAAACGAUGCAUACUAGGUGUUGGCCCUUCCGGGCCGGUGCUGCAGUUAACGCAUUAAGUAUGCCACCUGGGGAGUACGUCGGCAACGAUGAAACUCAAAUGAAUUGACGG